UUUUUUUUUUUUUUUUUUUUUUUUCUUUCUGCUUUUUAAGGCCGCACCUGAGGCAUAUGGAAGUUCCCAGGCUAGAUGUCGAAUCAGAGCUCCAGCCUACAGCCACAGCCACAGCAACACAGGAUCCGAGCCAAGUCUGUGACCUAAACCACAGCUCGUGGCAAUGCCAGAUCCUUAACCCAUUGAACGAGGCCAGGGAGCUAACCCGCAACCUUAUGGUUCCCAGUCGGAUUCGUUUCCACUGUGCCAAAACAGGAACUCCUGAUUCUGUCAUUUCUAAAUUUCAUUAUUGACUUUUGCCUUCAGUAACAAAUCACAGUGCAGUUUUGCACUAUAGUGAGCCCAAAGGCCCUGAAGGAAUCAAAGCUUCAUCUUACCUCACGUGCUCAUCCAAUUCCCAGAGACAGCAAGUGACUCACCCACCAGCACACUUUUCAUACUCCAACCAACCCAGAGCCCACACCACCACCCUCACAAUCUGGGUCACUCUCCCCCUAUCCUAAUCACCCCAGAGCCAGUUCCCACACAGCUUGGGUCAGCCCCUAUAUCCCGAUGAAACUAUUCCAAUUAGCCAAUUCUAAGCCUCAUUACCAUGCCUCACACAUUCCCUCCUGCAGAAACCACAAUAAAGACUCUUGCCAACACUUCCUCCUCUUCCUCCCUCUCUCUGCCUCCUGACUAACCCUGGUACUUCCCCAUGUGGCCCUUCAUGGCCUGGCAUCUCUCCAGUUUUUAGGGAACUGUGAGUAUCAACUUCUUCCUUUAUGGCCAUCAUUUCUGUGUCUGUGUGUCUUACCAAAUCUGAUGAAAACAAAUCUCAGGAACCUUUACAGCAAUUGGCACAGUGAGCGGGAAUGGUUACAAACUGCUCUUUGCUUACUAAGGGAUCCACCAGACAGCACCCAUGGCCAGGAGCCUGCCCUGUGCUGGCUUCUGCCUCAGGUUGCUUUUUGCAGGGUGUUGCUACGUAUUCCCAACCUAAACUUUGCAUGCUGAAAACUAAGUCCUCCUCAAGCUGCUGCAUAGGCCACAGAAUCAAGUGUCUGGGACUGAGUGCCCACGGGCACUCAACAUCUUUCUCCAAGCAGGUGAAGCGUCGGGUCCAGGACAGAGUGCCUGGGGUGUAUAUGGAACCAGAUACAUCAGCUUCUCAAAAAGGAGUGACUACCUUCCUGGUGCCAUGGGACAAGUCUGAUCUGAUCCAUGGGCUGGGCAGCAUUGACCAUGGGUGGGGCCAACUGAGUCAUUUAUAGAAAAUGCCUACUGGAGUUCCCGUGGUGGCCAGGCAGGUUAAGGACCCAACUAGCAUCCAUGAGGACAUGUGUUUGAUCCCUGGCCCCAUUCAGUGGGUUAAGGAUAUGAUGUUGCUGCAAGCUGUGGCAUGGGUCGCAGAUAUGGCUUGAACCUGGCGUUGCUGUGGCUGUGGUGUAGGCCGGCCGCUGCAGCCCCAAUUUGACCCCUAGCCCAGGAACUUCCAAAUGUCGCAGGUGCGGCCCUAAACAGCAAAAAGAAAAAAGAAAAAAGAAAAAAAAGUGCCUAUGGUCUAGGAUGUUAUGUGCUCCUGGGGCACCUGAUAAACCACCUCCCUUUCUCCCUCUGAGCUUUGCAGAGUCAAAACUCUGGCCUGUCCUGCGGAGAAGUGGGAGAUUCUCCACCUACACACUCCCGUCUGCAUCACAGGCCAUUCAUGGGCAUAAGGGUAUCCUCCUCAGGACGUCCUGUAAAUGUCAUUGCUUGGGUUGCAAAACCUCUCUGCCGCUGUCUGCUUACUACUGCGGCCAUUUGUCCUCUGACCCAAUGGGCUCUCAGGGCCCAUCCCUGGAGACCAGUGGCUCAACAUUUAACAGGGGAAAGGACAGGAACAUCUGGGUCCAGCUCUCCCAGAACCCCGAGGACGGGGUCCAAGUUAUGUUCACAGGCAGCAAGCCUGACCCGAGAAAGGUGUGAUUACCAGAAGUCCAGAUGGCUCAGAAAUGAGUAUUUGGGUUACACCACCAGGUAAGCCUCAAGAUCUGCUAAGGCUAUGGCUGAGGAUGAAGACAGUUUAGAAUGGAUACAAGUCAACAAACAACAAAUGCUAGAGAGGGUGUGGAGAAAAGGGUACCCUCCUACACUGCUGGUGGGAAUGUAAAUUGGUACAACCACUAUGAAAAACAGUAUGGAGAUACCUCAGAAAACUAAACACGAAACUAUCAUACAAUCUAGCAACCCGACUCUUGGGCAUACAUCUGGACAAAACAUUCCUUGAAAAAGACACACGUACCUGUAUGUUCAUUGUAGCACUAUCUGUGAUAGCCAAAACAUGGCAACAACCUGAAUGUCCAUCAACAGAUGAAUGGAUUAAGAAGAUGCAGUGUACACACACACACACACACACACACACAAUGGAAUACUACUCAGCCACAAAAAGAACAAAAUAAUGCCAUCUGCAGCAACAUGGAUGGAACGAGAGACUCUCAUACUAAGUGAAUUAACCGGCAGCUGUAGCUCUGAUGAGACCCCUAGCCUGGGAAUCUCCAUAUGCCGCAGGUGCAGCCCUAAAAAG
rnacentral:lncRNA from 1 species